rnacentral:rRNA from 1 species
UGCAGUCGAACGGUGAUAGCAAUAUCAUAGUGGCGCACGGGUGCGUAACACGUAUGCAACCUACCAUAUACUGAGGGAUAGCCUUUCGAAAGGGAGAUUAAUACCCCAUAACACAUUGAACUGGCAUCAGUUUAUUGUUAAAGAUUUAUUGGUAUAAGAUGGGCAUGCGUCCAAUUAGUUAGUUGGCGAGGUAACGGCUCACCAAGACGAUGAUUGGUAGGGGAACUGAGAGGUUAAUCCCCCACACUGGCACUGAGAUACGGGCCAGACUCCUACGGGAGGCAGCAGUAGGGAAUAUUGGGCAAUGGAGGCAACUCUGACCCAGCCAUGCCGCGUGCAGGAAGAAGGCGUUAUGCGUUGUAAACUGCUUUUAUAUAGGAAGAAAUAGACCUUGCGAGGUAAGUUGACGGUACUAUAUGAAUAAGCACCGGCUAACUCCGUGCCAGCAGCCGCGGUAAUACGGAGGGUGCAAGCGUUGUCCGGAUUUAUUGGGUUUAAAGGGUGCGUAGGCGGUUUAUUAAGUCAGUGGUGAAAGACGGUCGCUCAACGAUUGCAGUGCCAUUGAUACUGGUAGACUUGAGUGGGAUUGAGGUAGCUGGAAUGGAUAGUGUAGCGGUGAAAUGCAUAGAUAUUAUCCAGAACACCAAUUGCGUA